rnacentral:rRNA from 1 species
CCUACGGGGGGCUGCAGUGAGGAAUAUUGGUCAAUGGACGAGAGUCUGAACCAGCCAAGUAGCGUGAAGGAUGACUGCCCUAUGGGUUGUAAACUUCUUUUAUAAAGGAAUAAAACGAGGCACGUGUGCCUUUUUGCAUGUACUUUAUGAAUAAGGAUAGGCUAACUCCGUGCCAGCAGCCGCGGUAAUACGGAGGAUCCGAGCGUUAUCCGGAUUGAUUGGGUUUAAAGGGAGCGUAGAUGGGUUGUUAAGUCAGUUGUGAAAGUUUGCGGCUCAACCGUAAAAUUGCAAUUGAUACUGGCAGUCUUGAGUAUAGUUGAGGUAGGCGGAAUUCGUGGUGUAGCGGUGAAAUGCUUAGAUAUCACGAAGAACCCCGAUUGCGAAGGCAGCUUACUAAACUGUGACUGACAUUGAUGCUCGAAAGUGUGGGUAUCAAACAGGAUUAGAUACCCGAGUAGUC